CUUGGAGGUAGCUUUGAACUGGGACUUUGGCUUUGACUUGGGACCUUGGUUCUUGGACUGAUUUUUGGAGGACUGCUCCUGGAUCUUCUCCUUUGGACUUCAGUAUUGGAGGACUUUGUUUUGGGAGAGUGAGUAGCUGGCCUUCCUUUCUUGGCUUCUGGAAAGAUUAGUUGUGAAGAGGCCUUCCUUUCCUGGAGGAGGCUACAUUGGUGGAACACUUUCAUAAGACACCACUGGGUCCUCUGGCUAAGGGUUACCAAGCUCUGCUGGAGCUGAGCUGGACACUGGAGCAACAUUUAGUGUGAUAGGCUAGACAUUUUCUCUACCCUCUUUUUACAUUUCUCCAUUAUUCUUUCCACCUCUUUGUAAAUAAAAGCUACUAAAAUUCAUUUUAACUUGAGCUAAGAUAUUUUAAACUGGUGACCACAAUAUUAAUUUAGAAGCCUCAUACUUAGACCCCUAAAUUUAAUUUCUAAAAACACACAUACUUAUACAUACACAUAUAUGUUACCUAUGUAUAUAUGUAUAUUAUCUAUCCAUUCGUCUCUCCAUCUCUCCAUUUAUCAUCAAUUUAUCCAUCUUUCUCUCUCUCUUCCAUAUUUCUUUUCCCCUGGGGUUUCCUUUGGCCAAACAGCAAGCUCUUUUUGGGCUCUGUAAGGUUGUGAUAGUUACUCGAGAACUAGAAAGGGGUCCUUGGAGUUUGGCCUUUUGAGGAAGAUUGCAUUGCCACAGGCAGGUUCCUGUUAAAUCAGUGCCGAUGGGGAAUGAUAAAUCAAGUGGGCAAUCUUUUUGCUUUGUCAGGUGGAGGUGGGAGAGGCAAAGGAGUAUGAUUUGAAGACUGUAUAGAGAUGUAUUUUUUUUAACUCAAAUUCUCAAUGGCGAACAAGACUCCUAGAGAAGACAAGAGAUGGGCCUUGAGGAGAGACACAACUCAAAGUCAUCAAAGUUCAGUGGCAAGCCAAAAUUCAGGAUGACUGACUAUAUCCUGAGAUGAAGUUGAUGACCUUGAUGUCUUCAUUGUUGACCAAACUCUUAAGAACUCCACAAUGCUUGCUUCAGAUGACUUCAUGGCUAUUGGAACAAAUGGUUUUUAUCCUCCCAUCCAGGGAAUUAAAGGGGACCAGGCUGUGUACCAGGGUAGAAAAUACUAGGACAGAAAGAGAUCUCAAGGAAUCUUUGAAGAUCCUUCAGAAUAUGGGAUCCAAAGUCAUCUGGCAACCACAUCCAAGUCAGAGAUCAGGAAAGACUGCUGGAAGCCAGAAGCACUUGAAGUGA
ensembl:lncRNA